rnacentral:tRNA from 1 species
GGGAAUGUGGCUCAGUGGUAAGGUGCUUGUCUUGCAAGCAUGAAGCCCUGGGUUCAAUUCCUCAGUACCA